UUGGCUUAAAAGAAAACUGAAUCUCUUGUGCUUAUUGCAUUGUCCUAAAGGGAUAGAUAAUGGCAUAUCUUUUCCUAGCCCAACAAACAAACUGCAAUACCCCAGCUUUGAGGACUAAAUGGUCUACCCUUCAGGUGUUCGCAGUUCAACCGAAAGGUCAAGUCUUUAAAGGAAGCAGAGAGAUCACAUCAAAGAGUGCUGAAACGUGUUCUGCUCAAAUGCUGCCUUCUGAUGAAUAUACUCAUCUUCCGCUGGCUUUGGAAAGAGGUUCUGUGUGUAUUUGCAGGCAAAAUUUGGCACCUUUUGUAAAACACUUUGAGAGCAACAGCUGAGAAGAACUGUAAAGGAGUAAAGUAUAUCUUCCAGAAAGACAUCCGGUCUUGAUUUGAAGACUUCAGGAGAUGGAGAAUCCACUGCUACUUUGUCCUGAUGGUUAAUAACCCUUGCUAUUAAAAACCAUGUUUUACUUUUUAUUUGAAUUUGCCUGGAUUUAACUUCCAGCCAUUGGUUUUUAUCAAGUCUUCUCUGCCUCAUUCAAGAUAUAUCUAACACCUAGUAUUUUUUCCUCUUGAAAGUUUUUAUGUCCCAUAACCAAAUCAUCACUUGGUAUUCUUUAGGACAAACCAACUAGAUCAAAAUCCUUUAAGAUCUCACUGUAAAGCAGCUAUAUUUUUCAGCCCUCAAAUUAUGUUCUGACUCUUUUGUGCGCUUUCUCCAAUUUUUCAUCUCUUAAAAUACAGACACCAGAACUGGAUGCAAUAGUGUUUAUCUCACCAAUUCUACAUGUUAAGAUAAAAUCACCUCCUCACUAUUCACCAUGCCCAUCUUCUUACCUACAAGGACUUUAUCAGCCCUUAUUGCAGGGGUGGGCAAUUAUUUUGGGUGGAGGGCCACUUACUGAGUUUUGGCAAGCCAUUGAGGGCUGCAUGACAGGCAGCCAGGGGCAGAUAAAUAUUAAUUUUCUAAAUGGUUUAGGGGCCCUACAGCCCCUGGUGGGCCAUAUCUGGUCCGUGGGCUGCAUUUUGCCCGCCCCUGCCUUAUUGCUAGAAUAUUACUAGGUACUAGGAGACCAUGUUCAGUUGCUUGUGUCUAUAACUCCUGAAUCCAUUUCAUUGUCACUGAUUUUCAAGAUGCAUCUCCACUAUUCUAUAGAUUUAACCUUCAUUUCUCAUUCCUAUACACUACAACCUUGUAUUAAAAGCCUCUGUUGGCAGAGGCUUUGCUUACUGAAUUAAACAGCUUAUUCUGUAAGCUUCCCCUGUUCAUCUAAUUAAUUAUUACUUAAUCAAUCUGGUUUCAGCCAAAAAUUAUAUCAUCAAUUAUUUUAUUUUUACUUUCACAGGCUUGAAAGUAAAUAUAAGUGUCUGGCUUAGAAUUCAUCCCUUCAAGAAAAACCAUUCAAUGAAGCCUGCCCAUUGGCAAA